rnacentral:rRNA from 1 species
UACGAAGGGGGCUAGCGUUGCUCGGAAUCACUGGGCGUAAAGCGCUCGUAGGCGGAUUGUUAAGUCGGGGGUGAAAUCCUGGAGCUCAACUCCAGAACUGCCUUCGAUACUGGCGAUCUCGAGUCCGGGAGAGGUGAGUGGAACUGCGAGUGUAGAGGUGAAAUUCGUAGAUAUUCGCAAGAACACCAGUGGCGAAGGCGGCUCACUGGCCCGGUACUGACGCUGAGGUGCGAAAGCGUGGGGAGCAAACAGG